AUACGUAGGGGGCGAGCGUUGUCCGGAAUGAUUGGGCGUAAAGGGCGCGUAGGCGGCCUGUUAAGUCUGGAGUGAAAGUCCUGUUUUCAAGAUGGGAAUUGCUUUGGAUACUGAUGGGCUUGAGUGCAGGAGAGGUUAUCGGAAUUCCCGGUGUAGCGGUGAAAUGCGUAGAGAUCGGGAGGAACACCAGUGGCGAAGGCGGGUAACUGGACUGCAACUGACGCUGAGGCGCGAAAGUGUGGGGAGCAAACAGGAUUAGAUACCCUGGUAGUCCACACUGUAAACGAUGAAUGCUAGGUGUAAGAGGUAUCGACCCCUUUCGUGCCGGAGUUAACACAAUAAGCAUUCCGCCUGGGGAGUACGGCCGCAAGGUUGAAACUCAAAGGAAUUGACGGGG
rnacentral:rRNA from 1 species